rnacentral:lncRNA from 1 species
GAGUGCUGGGUCGGGCUUCCAGCUCCCUACAACGCAGACCAGUACUGGAGUUCGUGGUGCUGGAAGACCGCCGCCCGACUCUGGGCCCCGGGUAGGAAACAACAAUUUCGGACCUCCUGGGGUCUAUGCUAGGUAUGAGGUGUAUCUUUGCCCUCCAUCAAGUAGCAAAGAUGGACAUGUAAACAAAUUUCGACACUGUGAUGACUGCCACAAAAAGCAGCAUUAUGAGGUUGAAUGUAAAAGGAUAACCUUAGCGGCGGCGGGGGCCGGAGGAUGAAGGAAGGCUUCCUGAGGUAGGCGCUGGUUGAAACUGAAGUUGGAGAGAGCAAGUGGCAUUUGCUGAAGUGCAUUUCCGGUAGAAAACUCCAGUGGUCCCUCACCUGACUGAGUGGCGCAGUCAGAGAUAAAUGGAACAGAGUCUACAAAUAAACAUUUUAUAAAGAUGAUCCUUCAAUACAUAUUCUACAGCCCAGUUAAAAUGUGAGAGGCCAUGAUCUACAGACAGCCAUUUAUAAAGGUGGAUCAGGGCCGGACACGGUGGCUCAACGUCUGUAAUCCCGGCACUGUGGGAGGCCAAAGCGGGAGGAUCGCUUGAGCCCAGGAGUUCGAGACCAACCUGGCCAACAUGGUGAGACCCCAUCUUUACAAAAAAAUAUAUAUAUCCAGGCAUAGUGGUGUGCACCUGUGGUCCUGUGGUCCCAGCUACUCAGGAAGCUGAGGCAGUUGAGGCUGCAGUGAGCCACGUUCUGGCCACUACACUCCAGCCUGGGCAUCAAAGUGACAAGACCAAAAAAAAAAAAAAAUGUGGAUUGGAAGGAGGCAAGAAAGAAGUCAGGAAAAGGGUGGAAUGUAAGUCCCUAAGGACACAAUCUUACUCACAAUUGUAUCUCCAACAUUUGGCAUAAUGCCUAAUACGUAAGUAUUUUAUGAAUUAAUUAAACGAGAACACAAGCCUAAAUUAAGGCAAUGGCAAUGGAGAAGAAGAAACCAACUUGAGAAAUAUUUAAAGGUCAUUGUCAAUGGAACUUAGUGACUUUAAUGGUUAAUUUUAUCUAUCAACUUGGCUAGGCGAUGCUACCCAUGUUACUCAGUUUUUGGUCAAACACUAGUCUAGUUGUUGCUAUGAAUUGUAUUUGUUAGAUGUGAUUAACAUUUAAAUCAGCAGACUUUGAUUAAAGUACAUUACCCUCUAUAAUGAGGGUGGGCCGCAUCCGGUCAGUUCAAAUUAAAACGAGACCCUUAAGAAGAAGCAAUUCAGCCUCCAGACUGCAGCGUCAAAUCUCCCUGGGUCUCCAGGCUGUUUGUCUGCCCUGCAGAUUUCAGACUUGCCAGCUCCCAGAAUAAUGUGAGCCAAUUCCUUAAAAUAAAUCUCUUUCUGCAUAUACA